GUCCACGCAGUAAACGAUGAAUACUAGCUGUUGGCGAUAUAAUGUCAGCGGUACAGCGAAAGUGUUAAGUAUUCCACCUGGGGAGUACGCCGGCAACGGUGAAACUCAAAGGAAUUGACGGGGGCCCGCACAAGCGGAGGAACAUGUGGUUUAAUUCGAUGAUACGCGAGGAACCUUACCCGGGCUUGAAAGUUAGUGACGGACUUGGAAACAGGUCUUUCCUUCGGGGACACGAAACUAGGUGCUGCAUGGUUGUCAU
rnacentral:rRNA from 1 species